GAUACCCUAGUACACUUAAAUUUAAUUAAUAACAUUAGAAUAUUAGAAGUUAUGUUCUUUAAAUUUAAAAAAUUUGGCGGUGUUUUAGUCUAGUUAGAGGAACCUGUUUUAUAAACGAUAUGACACGUAUAUUUUACUUAUUUUGGUAGAUCAGCUUGUAUACCGUCAUUAUAAGAUAAUUUAAGAGAGAAUAUUAUUGAAAUCAUAUUAUUGAGUAUAUUAGAUCAAGGUGCAGCUUAUAGAUAAGUAAAUAUGGGUUACAAUAAAAUUUAUUUAAUAUGAAUUAAGUAUUUAAAUAUGUUUAUGAAGGAGGAUUUAAUUGUAAGGAGAGAGUAGAGAGCUUUUCUGAUAAAAGCUCUAAAUUAUGUACAUAUCGCCC
rnacentral:rRNA from 1 species